UAUGUGAUCGUCUCUCGCAUAUCAAUAAGCGGAGGAAAAGAAACUAACAAGGAUUCCCCUAGUAACGGCGAGUGAAGCGGGAAGAGCUCAAAUUUGAAAUCUUAAAGGGUUUCCCUUUACGAAUUGUAGUUUAAAGAAGUGUUUUCUGUUGAGGUUUUGGUAAAAGUUCUUUGGAAUAGGACAUCAUAGAGGGUGAGAAUCCCGUAUUUGACCUUUACUUUCAACUUUGUGAUACACUUUCGAAGAGUCGGAUUGUUUGGGAAUGCAGUCCAAAAUGGGUGGUAAAUUUCAUCUAAAGCUAAAUAUUGGCGAGAGACCGAUAGCGAACAAGUACCGUGAGGGAAAGAUGAAAAGAACCUCGAAAAGAGAGUUAAACAGUACGUGAAAUUGUCAAAAGGGAAGCGUUUGACACCAGUGUUGUUUUUCUGAAAAUCAAUUAAAGAACUGUUUAUGCUAAGUUGUUUAGACUUUAUCAGCUAACUGUUUAGUUUUGAGCUUUUCUUUAAUGCACUUUUCAGUUAACAAGUCAACAUCAAUUUCUUUUGCUGUAAAAAAGCUUGAGGAAGGUGGCUUUGAGAUUCGUCUUAAGUGUUUAUAGCCUCUUGCCUAUGCAGUCGGAGAGAUUGAGGUCUGCAGCGUAGAUCCUUCGGGGCUAAAUGCAUUUGUGCUAAGUUAUAGCAUUUUAUAGACAACUUGUUGACUAUGAUUUGUCUUGUAGCUUACUCGCUUAUGUUAUUUUACCUACGCUUAGGAUGUUGAGCGCAUGUCUCUCUCU
rnacentral:rRNA from 1 species